rnacentral:lncRNA from 1 species
UGUAUGUGUAUGUAUGUAUGUAGAUGUAUGUAUAUGUAUGUAUAUGUAUGUAUGUAGAUGUAUGUAUGUAUGUAUAUGUAUGUAUAUGUAUGUAUGUAGAUGUAUGUAUGUAUGUGUAUGUAUGUAUGUAGAUGUAUGUAUGUAUGUGUAUGUAUGUAUGUAGAUGUAUGUAUGUAUGUGUAUGUAUGUAUGUAUGUGUAUGUAUGUAUGUAGAUGUAUGUAUGUAUGUGUAUGUGUAUGUAGAUGUAUGUAUGUAUGUAUGUA